rnacentral:lncRNA from 1 species
UUUCUAUUUCCAUUUUUCUUUUAUUUGACAUACUGACCUGCUACAAUGUAUUGCAUAGAAUAUGACUGCAAAAGAAAAUGCUUUAUUAUUUACAGACCUCAUCGAAUCUCUGGUCAAAAACAGAGCAACAGGAACAGUUUCUGGGAGAAGGAAAGUGUCCAUCCCUGUCCACUUUCCUUCAAUGCCAUCCUCCUUUUAAAUACAUCUGAGUCCAUUAUAAAUAAGUGUCAAUGGUAAUACUUUGUUUUUGAUUCCGAAGUCCCUGCAUAUUCAUAUCUUGAUUUGCUUAAAUAUGAAGGAUGGCAGCGUCAGCUUGACCAUCUGAAGAGUCUUAAAAAUGUGCAUUU